rnacentral:RNase_P_RNA from 1 species
GGAGUAUUUCAGGUAGUCGCUGUCCCUACAUAAGGGGCAGAGGAAAGUCCGGGCUCCAGAGGGCAGGGUGCUGGGUAAAGCCCAGUUGGUGCGAACCAAAGGAAAGUGCCACAGAAACAGACCGCCUUGCCCCCUCGGGCAAGGUAAGGGUGAAAAGGUGAGGUAAGAGCUCACCGGGCAUCAGGUGACUGAUGUGCCAGGCAAACCCCGCCUGGAGCAAGGCUGAAUAGGGGGGGAUGAAGUGGCCCGCUGACCCCCGGGUACGGCCGCUUGAGAUAGUCCGCGAGGACCUAUCCAGAUAAAUGACUACCCACGACAGAACCCGGCUUAUGAGAUGCUCCCUCA